rnacentral:rRNA from 1 species
UACGUAGGUGGCAAGCGUUGUCCGGAUUUAUUGGGUUUAAAGGGUGCGUAGGCGGCUUUGUAAGUCUGUGGUGAAAUAUGGCAGCUCAACUGUCAGGGUGCCAUUGAUACUGCGGAGCUUGAGUACAGAUGAGGUAGGCGGAAUUGACGGUGUAGCGGUGAAAUGCUUAGAUAUCGUCAAGAACACCGAUAGCGAAGGCAGCUUACUAGGCUGUAACUGACGCUGAGGCACGAAAGUGUGGGGAUCAAACAGG